UUUUCUUUGCUUUAUUUAUUUUAUUUUCAGUUGUACUUUUUAUUUUAUUUUUGGUUGUUUUAUUUUAAUUUGUGAGACUUCUUUAGUUUAUUUUUAUUUUGAACUAUGUUUUUAUUUUUCUUAUUUUGAUGGUUUUUUUAUUCGAGUUUGUAACCUCUUAAUCUUUUUAUCUAUUUGUGUUUAUCCUCUUUUUAGUUUACUCGAAAACAUGCACUACAUUUAGAAUUUCCCACACUUCCAGUUUUCUCCAUUCUGGUGAUUUCAUUCAUAUUCAAGGCAAUUUCAAUUCCCUUCCUCCUUAUGAUAUUGUGCUUAUUCUAUUUCUAUCUAUUUGUACAUUGAAGACAAUGUACAUCUUAAGUUUGGGGAGGUUGUUUAUAUAAUUAUG
rnacentral:lncRNA from 1 species